UGCCAGCAGCCGCGGUAAUACGGAGGGGGUUAGCGUUGUUCGGAAUUACUGGGCGUAAAGCGCGCGUAGGCGGACUAUUAAGUCAGGGGUGAAAUCCCGGGGCUCAACCCCGGAACUGCCUUUGAUACUGGUAGUCUUGAGUUCGAGAGAGGAAAGUGGAAUUCCGAGUGUAGGGGUGAAAUCCGUAGAUAUUGGAAGGAACACCAGUGGCGAAGGCGGCUCACUGGCUCGAUACUGGCGCUGAGGUGCGAAAGCGUGGGGAGCAAACAGGAUUAGAUA
rnacentral:rRNA from 1 species